CUGCACACUUCAGUGCCAAAACACCAUUUAGGGAAAAACCGUUAACACACAGUCAAUAUAAAAAGUGGAGCGCAGCGAUAGAUAGAAAAUAAUAAAUAAAAUGUAUAUAUUUGUUCUUACUCCAAGUUGGUGGAAUUCAUUUGCAAAGAAAAAGUAAACAAACAAUAGUGUAAUCCUGUCAUAUGCAGUAAUAAUAUAAAUGCAAAUGACCUUAAUAAGUGGAGAUCCUC